AAAGGAGCCACAACUCCGCGCGGCGGCCACCUCCGCCUCACCUCCCGGCCGCUGCAAUGCCAUCAUCACGGCGCCCCUGCACCAUCGCGGAGCUGCAGCGGCUCGAGGAAGAGGCAUGGGCCUCGCCAGCACAGCGGGCGCUGUACGCUACGCGGCACAUCCCUGGGUUCCCGUGGUACACAGUGCAGGAGGUGACGUUGCCUGACAAGCCUGCAACUGCCAACGCGACCGCCCUCUUCACCAGCGGCGUUCGACGCCACGUCAUCCCGUAUGACUUUUCCUUUACUGUGUUCGUCAAGGGACGGUGGGUCGGCCGGCGGUUGCUCGAAGUCUACGCGGAGGAGCUGCCGCAUCACACCCCUGCCUACUACGAAGCUUGCCUGCGGCAAGGCCGUCUGUACUGCGUGCAGCGCGGCGCUCUCCGCCAGCACAACACGCAGCGCCGGCUGCUGAAGCGGUCGGCUGCCGCGCCUGCGCCGUUGGGCACGGCCGGGAGCUUCAGCGACAGUGCCCCAGGCCUGGCUUCGUCCAUAUACACUACCCCUACCACCACCAACACCACGUCCGCUUCAGACCUCCCUCGGCGCCGCCACGCUGAUCGCCGAGUCGCAUCGCCUGCUCCUCUGCCCUCUCGAGGAGAGGAUGUAGUGCUGCAGCACGGCGAUGUCGUGUACCACACGGUGCACCGUCACGAAGUGCCAGUGACGGUGGGGAUGUGUGGCGCCGAUGCCGUGCUUAUCACGGCCGUUUGCAUUGCACAGUACGGUCUCAUCUGCGUCAACAAGCCGACCGGGCUACCGACGCACGCGACGGGGAGGUACUACUACAACUCGCUUACCUCGCUUCUUGAGUACGUACUGGCGCCGAAGCGGCUGGCGGCGUGGCUGCUCGUCGAAGACCCGCUCCUGCAGUCCCUCGUCUCCACCGAGCACCUCUCGCCAUCGGAGAAGGUGGAGCUGUACGCGUACUAUGCCCCUCCUUCAGCUCCCGUGCGACCUCCUAGAUCAGUGCGUCAGCCCUGCGAGCACCAACUCCACCGCGAGGGAGGCACAGAGCACAGCUCGGGGUCUUCGCGAUGCUACUGUGCGGCAACAAGCGAAGCAUCCGCUGCCGAAGAUGCAGAUCUAGACGAAGUCGACCCUGACAAGGUGCCUCGGCCGUGCCAUCGGCUCGACAAGGUCACCUCCGGGGUGCUGCUACUGGCCGUGCGCCAAGACGCGGCAAGGCGGAUCGGAUCGGUGCUGAUGCGCAAGGCAAAAGAAGUGGACGAGGCAGUGACGGCGGAGCUGCUGCGCCGCAGGGUCGAGCCUAACGCCUCGCGUGACCGCGGCUUUGAGACAGCGGUCACCCCAGUCGCUGAGCACACGGCGAGCCCCGAUGGGAGUGACGGCGAUGCCGGUGCGCCCGCCGUUCACGGGCCCUCAUCCACCCCUGCUUCGCCACCGGCAUCUCUGCAGCGCGUCCUCGCCAGCACGUAUGAGCUGCAGAAGUACUACCUGGCACGUGUGCGUGUUGAGUCGGCCCGAGUACAGCCGGAAAGCGGUGACACAUUCGAAGCCGAGAUGCAGCGGCAGCACACGCCCCAGCCACCACCCUUAACAUCCCCGUCUUUGCCCUUGGCACUCCCUCCGCCUCUGCGUGUUUGGCGUGUGGCCGGUGAUGAACCGUGCUUGAGAACGCACAACGCCUAUGUGUCACGCAUGCUGAGCUCCGCAAACGGUGUCGGCGAUAUUGCGUCGUUGCGGGCUCGCCAGCCGAAGAAAUGCAACUCAGCUCUGCCGGGUGCGUUCCCUGAUGGCGUGCUGACGACAGUGCCGGUUCCUGCGCCUGGGGCCCUUGCGUCUUCCCCUGCUGCCGCGGCGACGCUCUGCCAGCUCCUUUUUGCCUUGCCCACCCUCACGAGCGCCGCACACCAGGACGCUCUGUUGCAAGCUGGAACGAGCGUGGCGAGCGCCGCUGAAGAGGCUGUGGUGCUAUGCACCCCCUACACGGGCCGCCUGCACCAAAUUCGUAUGCAUCUGAGCUCACUCGGCUGCCCCAUCGUCGGCGACGUCGUUUACGCGCACACCAGCGGCAACGCGGACGUGCCAGGCACAUCUUCAACGCAAGUACAGCCGCAGCUGCCGAGGGGGAGGCUAGGGGGCACGGAGAGCGCCACCUGGGGCCCCGAAACGUCGCCCACGAAAGACACGGCAGCGCGUGACCUGGACGGCAGCGCUGAUUGCGCGGCGCGACUCUCACGCGAUGGCCGCGAUUUCGUCUUCUUCGAUGCCGCACAGCUGCCAGCCGCCUAUCAUCGCUACUGCCAAACAGUGAAAGCGGCGGCUGAAGAGGCCAACGCCGCAUCUCAUGCUCGCCAGGCUUCUCCGUCGCGUAGGGCAGAGGAGCGUGCAGCGACAGUGGACGCCGACGGCGGGCUACCGACGACGAAGGGUGUAAAACGCAGUCGCGCUGUGUGCAGCACCGGCGGCGGAAGGGAAGCCGAGGCGGCGGAGGGCAUGGCGAACCUCGAGAAGAAGGGGGCCCCACUCGCCAGCACGAGUCGUGUUGCCGCAGUUGUGGGCGCUCCAACGGCGGGGGCGGGGCAAAGCGACGCAGCCGCCACUCGGUGGCAGGAUGAGCCGCUAUGCUACGAGUGCGCCGGACGUCUGCCCAUCGUGGCCGCAGGAGAGUGCGCGACGGGCACGUCGGCCAUCUGCCUGCAUGCCUGGGUGUACCAAGUUAGGGAGGCCCUGCUCCUCGCCACCGACGACGGCGCACCGUCGACGGCGAGCUCGCCAGCAUCAACGCCAAAGGCUGCUGCGAUGCUUGCGACUGCAAGCCGGUCGCCGCCUGCACCAUGCCCUUCCUCUUCCUCGGAGGACGGGGAGAGCGGUGCGUGGGUGAACAACCGCACCGCACAGCGCUUGCCACCUCACCGCCGCUUAGUAGUGGAGGGCGACGUUGUUCGGUUUGAAGCACCGCCACCGGCGUGGCUUCGGCGGUAGUGCACGCAGCGCCACACACUGCUCGCUGCGCAAUGGUCGGAAGACGCAGCGCGGAAUGACAGACGCCACGCCACCACCACGAGCUCGCAAGGACUGCAACACAAGGCCUUCGCACCGAACUGAAAGGCACACGUCGUACACAGCGAGGGAGAGGGGAAGGGGUGCGGGGCAUCUGGCGGGUGUCGCCCCUUUCCCUCCUUUCACACCUGUCCCUGCGCCCUUCUCUCUUUUCCGCGGACUGCGCUGCGUAAGACACAGUAAAAGCACCAACUAAAGGUACACACGCGCAUACGCGCCGUGCGAGGGCACGGUCAGACGUCCUUGGGCGGUUGCCGGCAACUGCCUACGGGGGACACGGUGAGGCAAGAGGAAGGGCGGCCGCGGACCUACCUGCAAGUGAGCUGUUCGGUGAGGUACCUCGCGUGAGUUCUCCCUCUCUCUUUCUCUUUCUACUGCCUCUGUGCGGGCUUUCAUCCAUCUGCCGACCCCCUCCUCUAUGCCGUCCCCUGCACACAUUUGCACGGCCACGCCAG
rnacentral:misc_RNA from 1 species